CAUUGUAGGUAAAUUUUCAAAACUAGAAACAUUGAAUCCACAGGGUGAGAUGGGAGAAGAAAAGGGUUGAUGUGACUUAGGAUGCUGACCCAUGUUAGUGGAACUGGAGACUUUCAGGACAUGAUGUUUGUAUGUGACUGAUAAUGAAAGAAAGGGAAGCCAGGUAACAUGGUCAAACAUUACCAUCAUAUGAGAAUUCAACGGGGCUUUCUGAGUUUAGGAGUAAAGUGAACAAUUGAUGAAACCCUAAGUAUUUCAUUUUCUGAAUGAAGAGAAACAGAGAGAGAGAAAUGAAAGAAGAUCACACAUGAAGACAGAUAUCUACAUCACCUU
rnacentral:lncRNA from 10 species